UCCCCAGUGGUCCAAUGGUUAAGACAUUGCACUUUCAAUGCUGAGGGCCCACGUUCGACCCCUGGUGGGGAA
rnacentral:tRNA from 1 species